UCACGCUAUCUGACUUCCAAGCUAUACUAUAGGGCUAUAGUAACCAAAAACAGUAUGGUACUAGUACAAAAACAGACACAUAAGCCAAUGGGACAGAAUAGAGAGCCCAGAAACAAUGCCACGCUCCUACAACCAUUGAGAAGAUCAACCCCAAAACACGUAAUUGUCAGAUUCACCACAAGGCUGAAAUGAAGGAAAAAAUGUUAAGUGCAGCCAGAAAGAAAGGUCGGGCACAUGUAUCCCAGAUCUUAAACUGUGUGCUGUGUGUCUGUAUACACACACACACACACACACACACACACACACACACACCAUGCAAUGGGGAAAAGAUUCUCUAUUCAGUAAUAACUGGCUAGAUGUAUGCAUAAGAUUGAAAGUGAACCCCUUCCUUAAGCCAUAUACAAAAUUUAACUCAAGAUGAAUUAAAGACAUAAAUAUAAGAUCUAACACCGUAA